CGUCCUCCCACACCGCGCGCGCCUGGCCCCCCAUUAUGGAGCAGAGCAGGCGCAAAUGGGAGGUCGUCGACUUGUCCUGCUUUAUCUGGCCUUCCUGGGAAACCAAGAGGAAAUAUUAGCAGAGAAGAUACUUUGGGAACUGUGUAAAAUAGACGAAGAUACUUCCAAAGAUGUCCUCCUUAUCUUACCUGGACUGGCAAGGGCGCAGUGAGCGUGAUGCUCCUAUGGAACUUCCUGCGCCUUGGCUCGACAGUUAUCACGGGCGAUACGGCGACGUGUCGCGGCAGCACGCGGCGACUCAGCUCGGGAGGCGCGCUGUGCGCCUGGAUGCCGACACGGAUGCGCUUCGUGAGCGCUUGCGGCGGGAACAAGGCUUGGACCUGACGACAAUUUUGGUAUUGUAAAAUAACAGCGUCACGACGGUGUAGGAGGAUACUGGUUCCCCAAAGUGACAACCCUGGCAGUCAUCUCCAGCCAUGUAAUAGGGGGAGAGCAUAUUGCAUAAAUCCUGGAAACCACCUCAUAAAGUCGAAUUCAGUUUAGAUAUCAAGGCAAUAUUCGAACUCAUUUGAGUCACAUUUUGAGGUCACCGAUUCGAACCCAGCACGGGCGCAAUAAUUUCCGAAAUUGUUUUCGAACUUAUGUUUGGAUCAUAUACAUUUCUGUGGCAUGUGACCUAACUUGUAUUGGGUUGGUUUUCAGUCAGGGCAGUCGCUUCUGUAAAAACUGGAUCUGUCAAAUCUUCAAGUAAGGGACCUUGUUCUUCUUCUCUCGUAUGGGUUGUGAGAUCAAUGACCUCAUCAACCCUGGUGUCAAGGUUACUAUCGAGCCGCUAAAGGCCGAAUAGUAACCCUGUCACCAUGAGCGGCCCCUGGGAAGACCGGACAAUGCUAGGAACUCACUUGUGGCGUAUGUGCGCUGGAGACGGUGCCUCCCUCAGGGCCGAUGAUAUGCACCUCCUGGCGCACGCGCGACACGCACGCGAUGUAAUGCGGGAAAUCGCAGGUGACGAUGCGGCACACUCGCUCACCGUUCUCGCCUAGAGUCUCGCCCGUGGAGCCGUACUCCUGACGCUCGCGCUGAAGAGCUUCCUGUUGGGGUAAAUUGGACAUUAGUAAAUGGUUUUAUUAUUAACGAGUUUAUCACCUGAUUGAAAAAGUUAGCUAGCUCAAACACCUCCACCCACCGGCAGUGGAGCAGCGUAGCGGAGUUCCGGUUUUGAGGGGAGACCUGAAUCCAACAGUCGGACGUAUAUAGGCUGGGUAUAUUGUAAUAUGCUGCUGUAUAAUAUAUUAUGUCUUUUUGUAACCGAAAAA